rnacentral:rRNA from 1 species
UAGGGAAUAUUGGGCAAUGGGCGGAAGCCUGACCCAGCCAUGCCGCGUGCAGGAUGAAGGCCUUCUGGGUUGUAAACUGCUUUUACCAGGGAAGAAAACACCCAUGCGUGGGGAACUGACGGUACCUGGGGAAUAAGCACCGGCUAACUCCGUGCCAGCAGCCGCGGUAAUACGGAGGGUGCAAGCGUUGUCCGGAUUUAUUGGGUUUAAAGGGUGCGUAGGCGGCCUUUUAAGUCAGUGGUGAAAGCCCGCGGCUCAACCGCGGAACUGCCAUUGAUACUGGAAGGCUUGAGUACAGACGAGGUGGGCGGAAUUGAAGAUGUAGCGGUGAAAUGCUUAGAUAUCUUCAAGAACACCGAUUGCGUAGGCAGCUCACUAGGCUGUAACUGACGCUGAGGCACGAAAGCGUGGGGAGCGAACAGG